UUNUGAACUGGGUGACUAGAGUGUGUCAGAGGGAGGUAGAAUUCCACGUGUAGCAGUGAAAUGCGUAGAGAUGUGGAGGAAUACCGAUGGCGAAGGCANCCUCCUGGGAUAACACUGACGUUCAUGCCCGAAAGCGUGGGUAGCAANCAGGAUUAGAUACCCUGGUAGUCCACGCCCUAAACGAUGUCGAUUAGCUGUUGGGCAGCAUGACUGCUUAGUAGCGAAGCUAACGCGUGAAAUCGACCGCCUGGGGAGUACGGUCGCAAGAUUAAAACUCAAAGGAAUUGACGGGGACCCGCACAAGCGGUGGAUGAUGUGGAUUAAUUCGAUGCAACGCGAAGAACCUUACCUGGUCUUGACAUGUACGGAACCCUCCAGAGACGGAGGGGUGCCUUCGGGAGCCGUAACACAGGUGCUGCAUGGCUGUCGUCAGCUCGUGUCGUGAGAUGUUGGGUUAAGUCCCGCAACGAGCGCAACCCUUGUCAUUAGUUGCCAUCAUUAAGUUGGGCACUNUAAUGAGACUGCCGGUGACAAGCCGGAGGAAGGUGGGGAUGACGUCAAGUCCUCAUGGCCCUUAUGACCAGGGCUUCACACGUCAUACAAUGGUCGGUACAGAGGGUAGCCAAGCCGCGAGGUGGAGCCAAUCUCACAAAACCGAUNGUAGUCCGGAUUGCACUCUGCAACUCGAGUGCAUGAAGUCGGAAUCGCUAGUAAUCGCAGGUCAGCAUANUGCGGUGAAUACGUUCCCGGGUCUUGUACACACCGCCCGUCACACCAUGGGAGUGGGGGAUACCAGAAGUAG
rnacentral:rRNA from 1 species